rnacentral:rRNA from 1 species
GGUACCGUGGUGCGAGCGGCGGGGGUAUGAUGGAGGGGCCGAGCGGUGUUGUGAUUCACUGGGCGCAAAGGGUGCUGAGGUGGUGUGGUAAGUCGGAUGUGAAAUCUCCAGGCUCAACCUGGAAACUGCAUUGGAAACUACCUUGCUGGAGGAUUUGGUGGGGGAUGGUAAUACUUGGUGUAGCAGUGAAAUGCGUAGAUAUCAAGUGGAACACCAGUGGCGAAGGCGAAUCCCUGGAAAAUACCUGACACUGAGGCACGAAAGCUAGGGGAGCAAACAGGAUUAGAUACCCUUGUAGUC